rnacentral:rRNA from 1 species
GUACACGCUGUGACUAGCAUAUCAAUAAGCGGAGGAAAAGAAACUAACAAGGAUUCCCUUAGUAACGGCGAGUGAAGCGGGAAGAGCUCAAAUUUGAAAUCUUCAAGGUUUUACCUUGACGUAAUUGUAGUUUAAAGAAGUGUUUUCUGCUGAAGUUUUGGUAAAAGUUCUUUGGAAUAGGACAUCAUAGAGGGUGAGAAUCCCGUAUUUGACCAUUAUUUUCAGCUUUGUGAUACACUUUCAAAGAGUCGGAUUGUUUGGGAAUGCAGUCCAAAAUGGGUGGUAAAUUUCAUCUAAAGCUAAAUAUUGGCGAGAGACCGAUAGCGAACAAGUACCGUGAGGGAAAGAUGAAAAGAACUUUGAAAAGAGAGUUAAACAGUACGUGAAAUUGUCAAAAGGGAAGCGUUUGACACCAGUGUUGUUUUCUGAAAAUCAACCUCUGUUAGCUUUACGCAUGUUUGUUUAGACCUAAUCAGCUAUCUUUCAUGUUCUAUUGUUUGCAGUGGUGCACUUUUCAGUUUACAGGUCAACAUCAGUUUUUUUUACCGUAAAAAAGUUAAAGAAAGGUAGCUCAUGGCUCCGGUCGUGAGUGUUAUAGUCUUUUUCCUAUGCGGUAGGAGAGACUGAGGUCUGCAGUGUAGGCUAUUUGGCUAGAUACCCAGGUGCUAUGUGAUACCAUUUCAUAAACAACUUGUUGAUUAUGUUUUGUCUAUUGCAUACUCGCUUGUACUAUCAUACCUACGCUUAGGAUGUUGAGUAGCGACAUACGCAC